rnacentral:rRNA from 1 species
GACGGAGGGUGCUAGCGUUGUUCGGAAUUACUGGGCGUAAAGGGCGCGUAGGCGGCUGCUCAAGUCGGGUGUGAAAGCCCGGGGCUCAACCCCGGAACGGCACCCGAGACUGGGCGGCUCGAGACCGGGAGAGGUGGGUGGAAUACCCAGUGUAGAGGUGAAAUUCGUAGAUAUUGGGUGGAACACCGGUGGCGAAAGCGGCUCACUGGCCCGGUUCUGACGCUGAGGAGCGAAAGCCAGGGGAGCAAACGGG